UACGUAGGGGGCCAGCGUUGCUCGGAAUUACUGGGCGUAAAGGGUUCGUAGGUGGUGCGGCAAGUUGGAAGUGAAAUCUCUGGGCUUAACUCAGAGGCUGCUUUCAAAACUGCCGUGCUCGAGUGCGGGAGAGGCCAGUGGAAUUGCAGGUGUAGCGGUGAAAUGCGUAGAUAUCAGGAGGAACACCUGUGGCGAAAGCGGCUCACUGGACCAUAACUGACGCUGAUGCACGAAAGCUAGGGGAGCAAACAGG
rnacentral:rRNA from 1 species